GGGUGGAGCACAACGUCGAAAGCAGCCGUUGGGAGCCCAGGAGGCGGGGCGCCUGUGGGAGCCGUGGAGGGAACUUUCCCAGUCCCCGAGGCGGAUCCGGUGUUGCAUCCUUGGAGCGAGCUGAGAGCUCGAGAACCUGCUAAGGCCAUCAAACCUAUUGAUCGGAAGUCAGUCCAUCAGAUUUGCUCUGGGCCGGUGGUACCGAGUCUAAGCACUGCGGUGAAGGAGUUAGUAGAAAACAGUCUGGAUGCUGGUGCCACUAAUAUUGAUCUAAAGCUUAAGGACUAUGGAGUGGAUCUCAUUGAAGUUUCAGGCAAUGGAUGUGGGGUAGAAGAAGAAAACUUCGAAGGCUUAACUCUGAAACAUCACACAUCUAAGAUUCAAGAGUUUGCCGACCUACCUCAGGUUGAAACUUUUGGCUUUCGGGGGGAAGCUCUGAGCUCACUUUGUGCACUGAGGACUCCUAGAAGUACCCCACCCCACCCCUGCUCCUUGGAGGACAACGUGAUCACUGUAUUCAGCUCUGUCAAGAAUGGUCCAGGUUCUUCUAGAUGAUCUGCACAAAUGGCUCCUCUCCUCCUUCCUGAUGUCUGCCAUUAGCACUGGAAUAAAGUUCCUGCUGAAAAUCCACA
rnacentral:lncRNA from 1 species